ACGGAGGGUGCAAGCGUUAAUCGGAAUUACUGGGCGUAAAGCGUGCGCAGGCGGUUUGUUAAGUCUGUUGUGAAAUCCCCGAGCUCAACUUGGGAAUUGCAAUGGAUACUGGCAGGCUGGAGUACGGUAGAGGAAGGUGGAAUUCCCGGUGUAGCAGUGAAAUUCGUAGAUAUUGGGAAGGACACCGGUGGCGAAGGCGGCCAUCUGGACGGACACUGACGCUGAGGCGCGAAAGCGUGGGGAGCAAACAGGA
rnacentral:rRNA from 1 species